rnacentral:rRNA from 1 species
CAAAGGGAUUACCGGUGGCGGAUGGGCAUGCGGCGCAUUAGCUAGUCGGCGGGGUAACGGCCCACCGAGGCGACGAUGCGUAGGGGUUCUGAGAGGAAGGUCCCCCACACUGGUACUGAGACACGGACCAGACUCCUACGGGAGGCAGCAGUGAGGAAUAUUGGUCAAUGGGCGCGAGCCUGAACCAGCCAAGUCGCGUGAGGGAUGACGGUCCUACGGAUUGUAAACCUCUUUUGCCGGGGAGCAAGCGUGCGUUCGUGAACGCGCGUCGAGAGUACCCGGAGAAAAAGCAUCGGCUAACUCCGUGCCAGCAGCCGCGGUAAUACGGAGGAUGCGAGCGUUAUCCGGAUUUAUUGGGUUUAAAGGGUGCGUAGGCGGGAUGCCAAGUCAGCGGUAAAAAUGCGGUGCUCAACGCCGUCGAGCCGUUGAAACUGGCGUUCUUGAGUGGGCGAGAAGUAUGCGGAAUGCGUGGUGUAGCGGUGAAAUGCAUAGAUAUCACGCAGAACUCCGAUUGCGAAGGCAGCAUACCGGCGCCCUACUGACGCUGAGGCACGAAAGCGUGGGUAUCGAACAGGAUUAGAUACCCUGGCAGUCCACGCAGUAAACGAUGAAUGCUAACUGUCCGGUGCGAGUGAGCGCUGG